UAAGAGUUGCAAAACUCCCAAACCAUUGUGAACAUACCUUCAACGUUGCUUCGGCGGGUUGGCCCCGGUCUCCGGGGUCCCCGGCCCUACUCGGGCGCCCGCCGGAGGUAUCUAACUCUUGAACUUUUAUGGCCUCUCUGAGUCUUUGUACUUAAUAAGUCAAAACUUUCAACAACGGAUCUCUUGGUUCUGGCAUCGAUGAAGAACGCAGCGAAAUGCGAUAAGUAAUGUGAAUUGCAGAAUUCAGUGAAUCAUCGAAUCUUUGAACGCACAUUGCGCCCGCCAGUAUUCUGGCGGGCAUGCCUGUUCGAGCGUCAUUUCAACCAUCAAGCCCCCGGCUUGUGUUGGGGACCUGCGGCUGCCGCAGGCCCUGAAAACCAGUGGCGGGCUCGCUAGUCACUCCGAGCGUAGUAAUACAUCUCGCUCAGGGCGUGCUGCGGGUUCCGGCCGUUAAAAAGCCUUAUUUACCCAAGGUUGACCUCGGAUCAGGUAGGAAGACCCGCUGAACUUAAGC
rnacentral:rRNA from 1 species